UCAGAGACUGAAAAAUAACAAAUACGCAUUAAAGUUUCUUAAAAAAAAACUUAUAGAAGUUGGCAAAAUCGCAUCAAUGCCAAGUUUGAUAAUUAAGUAAUUUUCCAUUUUGCCUGGGUUCAUUAAUUAAUAACAUUUUAAUAUCUACAUAAUUGCUUUAAGUAAUGAAAGUUAAGUGCAAGCAAUAAACCAAGCUAACAAUAGGUAUCAAACAUUUCAAUCUGUUACAUUUUUCCCUUGGUUUAUGAAAUAGUUUAUGAAAAGUCUAACUUUUGUCUGACUUAACCAUGCAAAGGUAUCCAAAAUGGUAUCCAAGUCUUUAAGCAUCAAAUCUAAGGAAAUGGGAUGUAAUGCCUGGAGGUGCAGUAGCCAUAAGGUGGUCAUUAGGUGACACAUUUAAGGACAAAAACAAUGUUAACUGCUCAGCAUGAAAAUC